CCGCUUCCCAGUUUCUCUCUCCAGGGCACAUCUUCCGGCCCGCUCGCCCUCUGCUAGAAAUAGGAAAAUGCUAUAAUAACACAACACAAGAAAAAAAAAAUGAAGCAACUUUGAUCACGCAUGCUCCCUUGGCGUCCACCUCUUUUUUUCCCCCCCACAACAUUUCUCCUAAGUUGGAAAGUCAAGGAAAGCCCGAGCGAAGUGUUGUCCACAGUUAAACCAAUCAUUCGGGGAAAGCCAUCUCAUAUUUAAAAUGCCUGUGGUAUCAAGGUGAAGGGAUCAGCAGGCAGAGAUGUAAGUGUGUGCAGUGUUUCUGCAUGAAGACAGACGGGAAGACAGGAAGAGGAAGUGAUCGACAGAUAGAGCUCCAUCCAGCUGGACACAACAAGAUCUAUGAUGUAUGAUCCAGCUGCACUGCUGAGGAACAAUAGUCUACUUAUAAUCUAUCAUGAUGGUGUCACAGGAUUUGAGGAAAUCUUUUCAUUCUUGCUCUGUCCUCUUCUGGCUUAAAAACUCCCACAGAUUCGCUCCAUAGACGUGAUGACAGAGAAGAAACUAUUUUUGAUUUUCAAAGCAACUUUUUGUUUGACGGGUUUUAGUGGUGCCACAGAGAAUUAUAAAAUACUAAAUAAAUGUUACUAUUGUGCGUAAGGAUCUUUGUGAAGGGAAAAUCAGUCACAGGAUCCUUAUAAGUACAGAUUUUUUUAAUUACAGUUCAAAUAUCAGGCACAUUAUUUAAACAUAAAAAUUUGCAUGAUAUUUGUUGGGGAUAUAAUUGUUUUUUUUUCUCCUCUAACUUUCCAAGAAAGAAAAAGAAAGCAAUUGUUAUUAGAUUUAAGUUGAUAUUAACUCCAUGGACCAACAAAUCUAUAAAAAAAAUCCACAAAAAAUUCGAAUAACCUUGAAAACCACUGUGAUUUCGAACAGGAUAACAAAAUCACAGAAACUGGAGUAAGGUCCCUGGACCCCACAUUGAGAACCACAGCUUUAGGAACACAAACCAGUUCUCAAAGUGGAAUAGUCACAUGAUCAUUCAGCAGUGCCAGGACUCUAUGUUUUACUGACGCUGCAGUUUAUGCAGAGAUCAUAUUAAAGUUUUUAUUAUCCUUGUUAUAGUCAUCAAGUUGUUUUACGCUGUAUAAACUAUAGUCUAAUUGGGCCACAAGAACUGAUGUUUAAUCUAAGCACAAAAAAAUGUGUCAUUUUUAAUAAAAAAUUUGCUGAUAAUUUGAACAUUUUGAAAAAUCUACAAAUUGUAAUGUUGUGAUAUUGGGUUGUUUGGGAGUUUUGAAAUAAAACAUGAACAUAUACAAGAUAAAUACAAAUGA